rnacentral:rRNA from 1 species
AACGAACGCUGGCGGCAGGCUUAACACAUGCAAGUCGAGCGCCCCGCAAGGGGAGCGGCAGACGGGUGAGUAACGCGUGGGAAUCUACCCAUCUCUACGGAAUAACGCAUGGAAACAUGUGCUAAUACCGUAUACGUCCUUCGGGAGAAAGAUUUAUCGGAGAUGGAUGAGCCCGCGUUGGAUUAGCUAGUUGGUGGGGUAAAGGCCUACCAAGGCGACGAUCCAUAGCUGGUCUGAGAGGAUGAUCAGCCACACUGGGACUGAGACACGGCCAAGACUCCUACGGGAGGCAGCAGUGGGGAAUAUUGGACAAUGGGCGCAAGCCUGAUCCAGCCAUGCCGCGUGAGUGAUGAAGGCCCUAGGGUUGUAAAGCUCUUUCACCGGUGAAGAUAAUGACGGUAACCGGAGAAGAAGCCCCGGCUAACUUCGUGCCAGCCGCCGCCGUAAGAC